AUGGACGCAAAGGUAGAGGCGGCCGGCGACGACGCGGUCCCGGAGGCGCCGGAGCAGUCCAUCGUCCUCAUCUCCGCCGGCGCCAACCACUCCGUCGCACUGCUCUCGGGCCAGAUGGUGUGCUCCUGGGGCCGGGGCGAGGACGGGCAGCUCGGCCACGGAGACUCCGAGGACCGGCCGUGCCGACGGGGAGACUUCGGGAGGCUGGGACAUGGCAACUCGAGCGAUGUGUUCAACCCGCAGCCGGUAGUGGCCCUGCAGGGGAUGAAGAUCAAGCAGAUCGCAUGCGGUGACAGCCACUGCCUCGCCGUCACCGUCACCGGACAAGUGCAUAGCUGGGGGCGCAAUCAGAACGGGCAACUUGGUCUCGGAAACAAUGAAGACUCGCUGCUCCCGCAAAAGAUCAAGGCUUUUGAGGGUGUCUGCGUAAAAAUGAUCGCUGCUGGCGCCGAGCAUACUACGGCCAUAACAGAAGAUGGCCAUCUCUACGGAUGGGGCUGGGGUCGAUAUGGCAACCUAGGUCUCAGCGACCGCGACGACCGAUCAGUCCCGGAAAAGGUUUCUUCCGUUGAGGGAGAAAAGAUGGCGCUUGUUGCAUGUGGGUGGCGCCACUCGGUCACUGUGUCGUCGUCUGGUGGUCUGUACACCUACGGGUGGAGCAAGUAUGGCCAGCUAGGCCAUGGUGAUUUCGAGGACCAUCUGGUUCCACGCAAGCUCGAGGCCCUCAAAGACGUUUCCAUUUCUCAGAUUGCAGGUGGGUGGAGGCAUACAAUGGCAGUCGCUUCAGAUGGGAAACUCUACGGAUGGGGGUGGAACAAGUUUGGCCAAGUUGGUGUCGGCGAUAACAUAGAUCACUGUUCCCCCGUGGAGGUGAAUUUCCCCGACGAACAGAAAAUUGCACAGGUUGCCUGUGGAUGGAGGCAUACUCUUGCCCUGACAGAAAACAAGAAUGUUUUCUCAUGGGGUAGGGUUGCCAGUGGACAGCUUGGUCAUGGUGAAAUAAUCGACAGGAACACACCCAAGAUGAUCGAUGCCCUGAGCCUGGACGGGUCUGCUUGCAAGCAGCUGGAGUCAUCAAACGCUGUUCCAAUGAUAGCUAAAGUCUGGGUCCCUCCUUCGAAGCGAUUCGCCAUCGUCCCCGAGGAGAAUGUUAGUAAACCAGGCAAUGGAACCGACAAGCACGCGCCUGAAGGCGAUGCCAAGAGGAUGCGCGUCUGA
rnacentral:rRNA from 1 species